CGGCCCUGUCGAGAUAGAACCCUUGCCUUUUUGAGUACCUUUCGUUUCCUCGGCAGGCUCGCCUGCCAAUGGGGACCACAAAAAACACUUUGCAGUACCUGUAACAGUCUGAACAAACAAAACAAAAAUUAAAACUUUCAACAACGGAUCUCUUGGUUCUGGCAUCGAUGAAGAACGCAGCGAAAUGCGAUAAGUAGUGUGAAUUGCAGAAUUCAGUGAAUCAUCGAAUCUUUGAACGCACAUUGCGCCCUUUGGUAUUCCUUAGGGCAUGCCUGUUCGAGCGUCAUUUAAACCUUCAAGCUAAGCUUGGUGUUGGGUGACUGUCCGCUUCACUGCGGACUCGCCUCAAAAUUAUUGGCGGCCGGUACAUUGGCUUCGAGCGCAGCAGAAACGCGAACUCGGGCCCGUCGUAUUGGCUCCCAGAAGCUAUCUUCACAAUUUUGACCUCGGAUCAGGUAGGGAUACCCGCUGAACUUAAGCAUAUCAAUA
rnacentral:rRNA from 1 species